rnacentral:rRNA from 1 species
ACGCGUGGGAACGUGCCCUUCACUGCGGAAUAGUCCCGGGAAACUGGGUUUAAUACCGCAUACGCCCUUCGGGGGAAAGAUUUAUCGGUGAAGGAUCGGCCCGCGUUGGAUUAGGUAGUUGGUGGGGUAAUGGCCUACCAAGCCUACGAUCCAUAGCUGGUUUGAGAGGAUGAUCAGCCACACUGGGACUGAGACACGGCCCAGACUCCUACGGGAGGCAGCAGUAGGGAAUCUUAGAUAAUGGGGGAAACCCUGAUCUAGCCAUGCCGCGUGAGUGAUG